rnacentral:rRNA from 1 species
UACGUAGGGUGCGAGCGUUGUCCGGAAUUAUUGGGCGUAAAGAGCUCGUAGGCGGUUUGUUGCGUCGGCCGUGAAAACCUGCAGCUUAACUGUGGGCCUGCGGCCGAUACGGGCAGACUUGAGUUCGGUAGGGGAGACUGGAAUUCCUGGUGUAGCGGUGAAAUGCGCAGAUAUCAGGAAGAACACCGGUGGCGAAGGCAGAUCUCUGGGCCGUAACUGACGCUGAGGAGCGAAAGCAUGGGGAGCGAACAGG